AUUGAACGCUGGCGGCAGGCCUAACACAUGCAAGUCGAACGAGUGGCGGACGGGUGAGUAAUGUCUGGGAAACUGCCUGAUGGAGGGGGAUAACUACUGGAAACGGUAGCUAAUACCGCAUACCAUCGGAUGUGCCCAGAUGGGAUUAGCUUGUAGGUGGGGUAAAGGCUCACCUAGGCGACGAUCCCUAGCUGGUCUGAGAGGAUGACCAGCCACACUGGACCGGAGAAACGGUCCAGACUCCAACGGGAGGAAGAAGUGGGGAAUAUUGCAAAAUGGGCGCAAGCCUGAUGCAGCCAUGCCGCGUGUAUGAAGAAGGCCUUCGGGUUGUAAAGUACUUUCAGCGGGGAGGCGGUACCCGAAGAAGAAGCACCGGCUAACUCCGUGCCAGCCGCCGCGGUAAUUC
rnacentral:rRNA from 1 species